UGGUUUUCGGAUAAUCGCGGUCUACAUAGGUAGGCUGAGGAAAGUCCAUGCUCACACAAGCUGCGAUGCUUGUAGUGUUCGUGCCUAGUGAAACCAUAAGCUAGGGUACCUAUACGGUAACGGCAGGAAAAAGAGCUAAGGCUUUGCUAUGCUUCAGUAUCCUUGAAAGUGCCACAGUGACGAAGCAAAUCAAGAAAUUGAUUUGGUGGAACGCGGUAAACCCCUCGAGUGAGCAACCCAAACAAUGGUCGGGGCGCUUUUUGGAACGGAAAUGAACGGAACAAAGAGGCAAGAAAUUGCAGAUAGAUGAUUAUCCAAAUUAUUUUGCUCCCUGUAAAAUAAUUGGACAAAACAUGGCUUAUAGAAAAU
rnacentral:RNase_P_RNA from 1 species